rnacentral:rRNA from 1 species
GCCCUACGGGGUGCAGCAGGCGCGAAAACUUUACAAUGCUGGCAACAGCGAUAAGGGAACCUCGAGUGCCAGGUUACAAAUCUGGCUGUCGAGAUGCCUAAAAAGCAUUUCAUAGCAAGGGCCGGGCAAGACCGGUGCCAGCCGCCGCGGUAACACCGGCGGCUCGAGUGGUAACCGUUAUUAUUGGGUCUAAAGGGUCUGUAGCCGGCCGGAUAAGUCUCUUGAGAAAUCCGGCAGCUUAACUGUCAGGCUUUCAGGAGAUACUGUCUGGCUCGAGGCCGGGAGAGGUGAGAGGUACUUCAGGGGUAGGGGUGAAAUCUUGUAAUCCUUGAAGGACCACCAGUGGCGAAGGCGUCUCACCAGAACGGACCUGACGGCAAGGGACGAAAGCUAGGGGCACGAACCGGAUUAGAUACCCGGGUAGUCCUAGCCGUAAACGAUACUCGCUAGGUGUCGGCCACGGUGCGACCGUUGUCGGUGCCGUAGGGAAGCCGUGAAGCGAGCCACCUGGGAAGUACGGCCGCAAGGCUGAAACUUAAAGGAAUUGGCGGGGGAGCACCACAACGGGUGGAGCUUGCGGUUUAAUUGGAUUCAACGCCGGAAAUCUUAC